GUUGUAUGGUUAAGUGACUAAGCGUACACGGUGGAUGCCUGGGCAGUCAGAGGCGAUGAAGGACGUACUAACUUGCGAUAAGCGCAGAUAAGGCAGUAAGAGCCGUUUGAGUCUGCGAUUUCCGAAUGGGGAAACCCAACUGCAUAAGCAGUUACUGUUAACUGAAUACAUAGGUUAACAGAGCAAACCGGGGGAACUGAAACAUCUAAGUACCCCGAGGAGAAGAAAUCAACCGAGAUUCCGGUAGUAGCGGCGAGCGAACCUGGAUUAGCCCUUAAGCACUCGGUGAAGUAGGUGAACAAGCUGGAAAGCUUGGCGAUACAGGGUGAUAGCCCCGUAACCGACGCUUCAUCGAGCGUGAAAUCGAGUAGGGCGGGACACGUGAUAUCCUGUCUGAAUAUGGGGGGACCAUCCUCCAAGGCUAAAUACUCCUGACUGACCGAUAGUGAACCAGUACCGUGAGGGAAAGGCGAAAAGAACCCCUGUGAGGGGAGUGAAAUAGAACCUGAAACCGUGUACGUACAAGCAGUAGGAGCACCUUCGUGGUGUGACUGCGUACCUUUUGUAUAAUGGGUCAGCGACUUAUAUUCAGUGGCAAGGUUAACCGUAUAGGGGAGCCGUAGCGAAAGCGAGUCUUAACUGGGCGCUCAGUCUCUGGAUAUAGACCCGAAACCGGGUGAUCUAGCCAUGGGCAGGUUGAAGGUUGAGUAACAUCAACUGGAGGACCGAACCGACUAAUGUUGAAAAAUUAGCGGAUGACUUGUGGCUAGGGGUGAAAGGCCAAUCAAACUCGGAGAUAGCUGGUUCUCCCCGAAAGCUAUUUAGGUAGCGCCUCGGACGAAUACUACUGGGGGUAGAGCACUGUUAAGGCUAGGGGGUCAUCCCGACUUACCAACCCUUUGCAAACUCCGAAUACCAGUAAGUACUAUCCGGGAGACACACGGCGGGUGCUAACGUCCGUCGUGGAGAGGGAAACAACCCAGACCGCCAGCUAAGGUCCCAAAGUAUUGCUAAGUGGGAAACGAUGUGGGAAGGCUCAGACAGCUAGGAUGUUGGCUUAGAAGCAGCCAUCAUU
rnacentral:rRNA from 3 species